GGACGAUUAACUCAGCGGGAGAGUGCUACCUUCACACGGUAGAAGUCACUGGUUCAAAUCCAGUAUCGUCCACCA
rnacentral:tRNA from 2 species